UACGUAGGCAGCUAGCGUUGCUCGGAAUCACUGGGCGUAAAGGGUGCGUAGGCGGGUCUUUAAGUCAGGGGUGAAAUCCUGGAGCUCAACUCCAGAACUGCCUUUGAUACUGAAGAUCUUGAGUUCGGGAGAGGUGAGUGGAACUGCGAGUGUAGAGGUGAAAUUCGUAGAUAUUCGGAGGAACACCAGUGGCGAAGGCGGCUCACUGGACCGGUAUUGACGCUGAGGUGCGAAAGCGUGGGGAGCAAACAGG
rnacentral:rRNA from 1 species